rnacentral:rRNA from 1 species
AGAACGAACGCUGGCGGCAUGCCUAACACAUGCAAGUCGAACGCGUGUAGCGAUACACGAGUGGCGGACGGGUGAGUAACGCGUGGGAACCUGCCCUGGAGUGUGGGGAUAACCGAGGGAAACUUCGGCUAAUACCGCAUACGACCUGAGGGUGAAAGAUUUAUCGCUCUAGGAGGGGCCCGCGUCGGAUUAGCUAGUUGGUGGGGUAAAGGCCUACCAAGGCAGUGAUCCGUAGCUGGUCUGAGAGGAUGAUCAGCCACACUGGGACUGAGACACGGCCCAGACUCCUACGGGAGGCAGCAGUGGGGAAUAUUGGACAAUGGGGGCAACCCUGAUCCAGCAAUGCCGCGUGAGUGAUGAAGGCCUUAGGGUUGUAAAGCUCUUUCGCGCGCGACGAUGAUGACGGUAGCGCGAGAAGAGCCCCGGCUAACUCGCGCCAGCAGCCGC